AGUGAACGCUGGCGGUAUGCCUAACACAUGCAAGUCGAACGGCAGCACAGUAAGAGCUUGCUCUUACGGGUUGCGAGUGGCGGACGGGUGAGGAAUACAUCGGAAUCUACUUUUUCGUGGGGGAUAACGUAGGGAAACUUACGCUAAUACCGCAUACGACCUACGGGUGAAAGCAGUGGAUCUUCUGACCUUGCGCGAUUGAAUGAGCCGAUGUCGGAUUAGCUAGUUGGCGGGGUAAAGGCCCACCAAGGCGACGAUCCGUAGCUGGUCUGAGAGGAUGAUCAGCCACACUGGAACUGAGACACGGUCCAGACUCCUACGGGAGGCAGCAGUGGGGAAUAUUGGACAAUGGGCGCAAGCCUGAUCCAGCCAUACCGCGUGGGUGAAGAAGGCCUUCGGGUUGUAAAGCCCUUUUGUUGGGAAAGAAAAGCAGCAGGUUAAUACCCCGCUGUUCUGACGGUACCCAAAGAAUAAGCACCGGCUAACUUCGUG
rnacentral:rRNA from 1 species